AACGAACGCUGGCGGCGUGCCUAACACAUGCAAGUCGAACGGAAAGGCCCUGCUUUUGUGCGCUGCUCGAGUGGCGAACGGGUGAGUAACACGUGAGUAACCUGUCCUUGACUUUGGGAUAACUUAAUGCAACUGGGGCUCAUACCGGCUAGGAGCUCCUGCUGCAUGGUGGGGGUUGGAAAGUUUCGGCGGUUGGGGAUGGACUGGCGGCCUAUUGGCUUGUUGGAGGGGUAGUGGCUGACCAAGGCAUUGCCAGGUAGCCGGCCUGGGCGGGUGACCGGCCCCAUUGGGACUGAGAUACGACACAGCCCCGUACGGUAGGCAGCGGAGGAGAGUGGUAUACUGGAGGAGGAAGCAUGAUGUAGUAACGCCGCGCGCGGGAUGACGGCCAGCGGGUUGGGAACCGCAGCCGCUUGUGACGAAGUGUGAGUGACGGUAAUGGGUGAAGAAGCACCGGCUAACUACGUG
rnacentral:rRNA from 1 species